rnacentral:tRNA from 1 species
GGGGAUGUGCCUGAAAUAAAGGACCACUUUGAUAGAGUGAAUUAUGGAGGUUAAAAUCCCCCCAUCCCCU